rnacentral:lncRNA from 1 species
ACAUCUGGUUCGGUUUGCCGCAUAGUCAGUGCGCAGAAGAGAGGGGAUCCUGAAGAGACCUCAGCUGUCGCUGGUAAGAACGCUGGGGCAGAAAGUAGAGGGCCCAGAAAUCUGGGGUGAUGGCAAAAAGGGGUGUGGGGGUGGGAUUUUCGCUCCUCAGAAAAUUGGCUGUGUUUACAGCUGCCCGAAUUUGAUUCAAGUCUUUCCCCAAACCUUAGCUUUGGGGCCUGUUUCCAGUGGCCCUGGAGUAAGAGGAAGCUUCUGUGCAUGUGCAAAGCACUUGGGGGGGUGAAUUCAGGGAGGAAAAGGUUAUCAAUGGCUUAUGAGCUUUGCCUCCACAGUCGGAGGCGAUGAUUCUUCUGAAUCAUAGAAUCAUAGAAUAGAAUCAUAGAAUCACAGAGUUGGAAGAGACCACAAGGGCCAUCGAGUCCAACCCCCUGCCAAGCAGGAAACACCAUCAGAGCACUCCUGACAUAUGGUUGUCAAGCCUCUGCUUAAAGACCUCCAAAGGAGGAGACUCCACCACACUCCUUGGCAGCAAAUUCCACUGUCGAACAGCUCUUACUGUCAGGAAGUUCUUCCUAAUGUUUAGGUGGAAUCUUCUUUCUUGUAGUUUGGAUCCAUUGCUCCGUGUCCGCUUCUCUGGAGCAGCAGAAAACGACCUUUCUCCCCCCUCUAUGUGACAUCCUUUUAUAUAUUUGAACAUGGCUAUCAUAUCACCCCUUAACCUCCUCUUCUCCAGGCUAAACAUGCCCAGCUCCCUUAGCCGUUCCUCAUAAGGCAUUGUUUCCAGGCCUUUGACCAUUUUGGUUGCCCUCCUCUGGACACGUUCCAGUUUGUCAGUGUCCUUCCUGAACUGUGGUGCCCAGAACUGGACACAGUACUCCAGGUGAGGUCUGACCAGAGCAGAAUACAGUGGCACUAUUAUUUCCCUUGAUCUAGAUGCUAUACUCCUAUUGAUGAGGCCCAGAAUUGCAUUGGCUUUUUUAGCUGCCGCGUCACACUGUUGGCUCAUGUCAGGUUUGUGGUCAACCAAGACUCCUAGAUCCUUUUCACAUGUACUGCUCUCAAGCCAGGUGUCACCCAUCUUGUAUUUGUGCCUCUCAUUUUUUUGCCCAAGUGCAAUACUUUACAUUUUCCCUGUUAAAAUUCAUCUUGUUUGUUUUGGCCCAGUUCUCUAAUCUGUCAAGGUCGUUUUGAAGUGUGAUCCUGUCCUCUGGGGUGUUAGCCACCCCUCCCAGUUUGGUGUCAUCUGCAAAUUUGAUCAGGAUGCCCUUGAGUCCAUCAUCCAAGUCGUUGAUAAAGAUGUUGAAUAAGACCGGGCCCAAGACGGAACCCUGUGAAUACCAGUUGCUGGAAGCCACAGUGGUGAAAGUGCUCUUGCCCUGGGGUCUUGCUUGUGGGUUUCUCACAGACCUCUGUUUGGCCUCUGUGAGAACAGGAUGCUGGACCAGAUGGGCCACUGGCCUGAUCCAGCAGGCUCUCCUUACGUUUCGUUCCCUGGUGACAAAUCCCAGAAUAGUAGCCUUGUAGGGAUGCGAGUGGUGCUGUGGUCUAAACCACUGAGCCUCUUGAGCUUGCCAAUCGGAACAUCAGUGGUUCGAAUCUGCGCGACGUGGUGAGCUCCCGUCGCUCUGUCCCAGCUUCUGCCGACCUAGCAGUUCGAAAACACGCCAGCGCAAGUAGAUAAACAGGUACCACUGUGGCGGGAAAGUAAACGGCGUUUCCGUGCAAUCGGGCACUUGUCACAGUGUCCCGUUGUGCUAGAAGUGGUUUAGUCAUGGUGGCGCGGAAGGCCGUCUGUGGACAAACAGUGGCUCUCUUGGCCUGAAAGCGAGAUGAGCACCGCAUCUCAUAGUCACCUUUGACCAUGGGUGUAGCCAAGGGGGUAGGGAGGGGAAGCUGUCCUCCCCAAUC